UCGUAAAGUGCAAAGAUGAAACUCUCUCUUCCUCCUUCCUUCUACCACCGACAGCCACCUCCCACAUCCGUUGUCGCCGUCACCGGUGACACCGUCAUCGUCGUCGCCGCCACCGACGACACUACCAUCGUCGUUGUGACUCUCGUUGAUAUGUUCUAAUACCGCUCCUGCUUGUUUUUGUCGAAUGUCGACCAACAGUGGUUAUUUUUGCAUCAGAUCUGACAUGAAGCACCACCUCCAGUGCUUUCUAACACCAAAUUUGCAUAUGUUUUUCUCUGAUUUUCGGUGAAACCACCAAAUCUGCCGCCUCCGUAGCUUUCAAUCUAUUUUAUAGGUGAUGAGGCUUUUAGAUCUGAAGUGUUUCGGUCCAGAUCUACGUUCUCCGAUGAUAGAUCUAAGAUCUUCGGUGGCAAAUCUAUGAUUUUCGCCUGUAGAUCUACUAUUUACGUCUUCAAAUCUAUGAGUUUCAGUGACAUUGAGUGACUAGAUCUAAAAUCUCCGUCAGCCUCCUCUAUUGUUGUUGCCUUGUCACUCUGGUGAAACACCGCUAACUUUUCUCCAUAUCUAUCUCUUCUCUCUGAUCUCCGUUGAAACAUCACUAGAUCAGAUCUAAUUUUUGAGGGAUGUUGGCGGUGUGGUUGGUGGUAGCGAUGGUUGAGUAAGGAUAUGUUGCAUUUCUCACUCAUCUUCUUCGAUGAUAUCAGAUAAGUUAUCCGGUUUUAUGAUUCAUGUAUAUGUUAUUCCUUGGAUGUUUGCUUUUGAAAUAUGAGAUAAUUUAUGUAUGUAUUAAUUGUGAAUGAUAUAUGAGAUUAUACUUGUAAAUGAGCUUUGAAUGUAUUGUAUUAAACUGUGAAUUUUUUUGUAUUAAUCUGUGAAUUUUAUUGACAGCUUAAUAUAUUAAAUUCACAAUUAAGUACAAAGAAAUGCCUCCAUACAUGAUGAAACAUCCCAAAAACACAGUCUGAAAAUUUUGUUUAAUUUAAUAAUAAAAACCAUAGUCGAUAAACCUUAUAUAAAAAUCAUAAGCAAUGUAUCUCAAAAUAUCAUAACAACUGUCAAGUAUAUCAGAGUAUAAACAUCCCAUGCUGAACAAAUGGUGUGUGCACUGCAAUCUUCCCGAGCUCCUCUUUUGAAAACUGAGUACCUGAAACCAAAACUGAAACUGUAAGCACGAAGCUUAGUGAGCUCCCCCAAACUACCACAUACCAUACAAUAACAUGUAAACACAUACUGGGCCUUGCCCACUGCAUCGGACCAAGCCCGGGAACUGCAUCGGGCCGAAGCCCGGACUAACUGGGGCCUUGCCCCCUGCAUUGGACCGAAGUCCGGAAACUGCAUCGGGUCAAAGCCCGGACUAACUGGGACCAUGUCCCCUGCAUCGGACCGAAGUCCGAAACUGACUGAUCAUAACAUAGCAUAAACACAUAUCAACUAGUAUAAACACAUAUACUGCAUAUUGCAUCGGACUGAAGUCCGGAACAUAUAACACAUAAGCAUGCUUGAAUCACAAAGACAUCAAGCACCCUAAUUCACUACUAGAAAAACAGCCUUUUACGACACUCAUUGCGCGUCGUAAAAGGCUCAGAUGACGCGCAAAUGCGCGUCAAGAAAGACCCUAUCAUAAAGAGAGACGACGCGCAUUUAUGACGCGCAUUUACGACGCACAAUUAUGACACGCAAUGCGUAUCAAGGAAGGCCCUGUCAUAAAGGAAGACGACGCGCAUUAGCGUGUUGUAACCUUACGACGCGCGUGUUUAUGACACGCAAUGCGUAUCAAAGAAGCCCCUGUCAAGAAAGGCCAUGUCAUAAAUGAAGAUGACACACAUUUUUGCGUAUCGUAUUUUAAAUUAAAUUUGCAUUUAAUGUCUCAUAAAAAAAAUACUAUACAAAAAAUACAAUCCAUUGCAUAAAAUUUAAUGUCAUACAAAUAGUCAAUCCAUGGAAAGAUAAAACAAAUCAAUAGAAAUUGUUUUCUCCCUAUACAUGAUUAUCACAUACUAAAUAACAAACUUAAUUUCAUAUUCAUAAAUAUGAUUACAUUAUUCAUUAAAAAGAACAUAUACCUACAUCUUCGCCUAAAAUGUUAUUACAUGAUGCAAGUUGGGCACUUCAUUGAUGGAUCACCAAGAGGAAGACCAACAACUGCCCUAAAAUGUUCCAUGAUGUGUCCAUACUCAUGUCCUGUAACUUUAAACAUUUAAUAAAGUAAAAUACCUCCUAAAAAUAAAAUUGCACAAGAAACAACACAUCAUAAUGAGAAAUUACUAACAUGAAUGGAAGAAGUACACUAUAAAUUUGUUUUUACCAAGAGUGGCAUGGAUGAUCAGGUGCUACAAGUUUAUCCAAGCUGCCAAACAAAAGCCAAAACAUUGGAAACUAUGCAGCUGCAAAAGCCAAAACAUUGGAAAAAGUUGACAUAGAAAAAUGUAGCAUGCUUCUUUUGAAGGAUUUGGCAGUGCCUGCAGAUAGCUCAGAGGCAAAAUUUUGACAUAGAAAAAUAUAGCAUGCUUCUUUUGAAGUGUGACAUAGCUCAGGGGCAAAAAGGUAAUUUGAUAGAGAAACAUGAUUAUCUUACCAUGUAUGAGCAGAAGGCAAACGAUAAGAGCUUCCAUAAACUUUGUGAAUCUGGAAGGUAGUGCUAGUCUUUGGAGUAGCUUGAAAUCCAUUCCCAAAUCCAGGCGUCGCCUCCUUUCAGACAUCCAAUAAACAUGUUCAUAUCAGAAACAACUAAUAAACCAUGUUAGGGGUCAUUUGAUUUGCACUUACCCAGUCUGGUCAGAGUUGACUGCUGACCCGGUCAGUAGUCAGAUUGUUUGAUGGGCCUCCAUUGUGGCUGACUCGGUAAGUAAUCAAUGAACAAGGGAGCUGACUCGGUCCUAAAAAAAAAAGAGGCUGACCGAUACCGAUGCAUUUUUCUUCUCCUGCGCCCUAACAAAAAUCUCCGCUAUUCUUCCUCUUCCUUCAACAUUCAGCGCAACAAGCAGCAACAGUUGACACAACAAUUACCUCUAGCUUCCGGCGAACCUCCUGCGACGACGAAGUAACAGCUCCGGCGACGAAGACACAGCCCCGAUGAGGAGAUCGACUGCAGGUACGUUUCUUCGUGUUUUUUUUUUCUGAAAUAACAAAACCCCUUCAAUGUUUGUUGUCAAAUUGAUGAUUUCAUUUUGAAAUUAGGGUUUGAAAUUACUUCUUUCAUUAUUUUUGGAUUCAAUUAGAACAAAGGGUUGGCAUGAAAUCAAUUUAUAAUGUCUUUUUGUUUAUGAAAUCUGAUUUUAUCUAUAUGAAGGAAUGAAUUGCUUGUGUAUGAAAUUUGUAUGAACUAAUGUGUGAAAUCACAGCCCCUUAUAUAGUUGUUAAAUCGAAUGAAUUGUGUAUUGUGUGUAUAUGAUAUGUUUAUGUGCAUAUGUGUGUAAGAUCAAAAUGCUCAAGAUAAUGAUUAGAAUUUGUUACAUAGGUGUAUGUGUAUUACCAAACUGAUAUAUGAGAUCUUGUCUUCAAGUUAUGUAUUGUGUAUAUGAUAUCUCCCAAGUAUUGUCUUCAAGUUGUAUUAUCUUUAGGUUAAACAAAAAAAAUAUAUGUUUUAUCUUAUUGACAUCAAGCAAAUAGUGUUAGCUAUUUGUAAAUGUGUGUUAUGUGGAUGAUUAGAUUUUUUUUCUUUUUACAAUAGACAUGGCAGAUAAAAGAAUUAGGGUUAGUUGGAAGUCGGAAUUGGUGGACAAAACUUUUUUGGAAGCAUGUAUACAAGAAUUAACAAGAAAUGGCCGGGAGGGUAGCGGACUAAAAGCAAGCUCAUGGGAUGUGGUCGCGGAGAAAUUGUAAACAGAUCAUAAUUUUAUUGUCGACAAAAAACAAAUGAAAAACCGAUAUGACUAUUUAAAAGCAAAGUAUGCAGUGUGGUUAAAACUUAAAAACAAAACAGGAGAUAUUUAUAAUCCCGUUACGAAUUCUUUUAACAUGACUAAUGAAGAAUGGGAAGCGGAAGCGAAGUUGAACAAGUAUGUAGAUAAGCUGAGAAAUGUACCCCUCCCUUACCCUGAACUUUGUACCCAACUAUUUGAUGGGGCGACCUCGACCGGUGUUCACAGUUGGGGGCCAUCUUCGACAUUACCUCAUCCCAAUGAAACCUUCAGUACACAUGAUUUUGAGGAUACAGAGAUGGAUGAGCCAGCACCUCAUGCAGAUACCCCAAGCUCAACAGUACCUUAACCUACUAGUGAGGAAUCAUAUGGGCGGACAAAAAACAAGGGGGGCAAACGAAAUGGUCCUAAAGAAACCACACUUGAUGAUGAGUUGAAAGAAGUUGGAAAAGAGAUUGUCAAGGCUGCACAAGCAUUCACCGAAACAAAUAAUCUUGACAAGGAGAUGGAUGCUUGUAUGGCGAAGUUGACAAGCUUGGAGUGGGGAGAAUAUGAUCCGAAAUACACCACUGCUCUUAUGUUAUUUGCUGAAAGUGCUGGUAAUAGGAAAAUUUGGUUGCGCCUUAACUUGUCAACUUGUGAGUCGUGGGUAACAAAUGCGGGAAAAAAGUUUGGAUUAGUUGGUUGACUUUAGUAUUUACAUGUUAUGUUUGACUUUAGUAUGUUAUGGUUCAUUGUUAGACAUUAGUAUUCUAUGGUUUAGUUAUGUUAUGGAUUGUUUUUCUUAGGUGCGGUUAUGUUAUAUGAAUUUAUAUGUUAUGGAAUGUUAUGUUUUUCGUAUUUACAUGUUACGAUUUGUUAUGUUAUGGAUUGUUAUGUUAUUGAUUGUUAUGUUAUGG